rnacentral:rRNA from 1 species
AGAGUUUGAUCAUGGCUCAGGAUGAACGCUAGCGGCAGGCCUAAUACAUGCAAGUCGAACGGUUGUAGCGAUACAAUAGUGGCGCACGGGUGCGUAACACGUAUGCAACCUACCUUAUAGACGGGGAUAGCCUUUGGAAACGGAGAUUAAUACCCGAUAGUACUAUUGACUGGCAUCAGUUAAUAUUUAAAGAUUUAUCGCUAUAAGCUGGGCAUGCGUCCAAUUAGUUAGUUGGUUAGGUAACGGCUGACCAAGACGAUGAUUGGUAGGGGAACUGAGAGGUUAAUCCCCCACACUGGCACUGAGAUACGGGCCAGACUCCUACGGGAGGCAGCAGUAGGGAAUAUUGGGCAAUGGAGGCAACUCUGACCCAGCCAUGCCGCGUGCAGGAUGAAGGCGUUAUGCGUUGUAAACUGCUUUUAUAUAGGAAGAAACAGACCUUGCGAGGUAAUUUGACGGUACUAUAUGAAUAAGCACCGGCUAACUCCGUGCCAGCAGCCGCGGUAAUACGGAGGGUGCAAGCGUUGUCCGGAUUUAUUGGGUUUAAAGGGUGCGUAGGCGGUUUAUUAAGUCAGUGGUGAAAGACGGUCGCUCAACGAUUGCAGUGCCAUUGAUACUGGUAGACUUGAGUGAGAUUGAGGUAGCUGGAAUGGAUAGUGUAGCGGUGAAAUGCAUAGAUAUUAUCCAGAACACCAAUUGCGUAGGCAAGUUACUAAGUCUCAACUGACGCUGAGGCACGAAAGUGUGGGUAUCAAACAGGAUUAGAUACCCUGGUAGUCCACACUGUAAACGAUGAUAACUAACUGUUGGCUUUCGGGUCAGUGGUACAGAGAAAUCGUUAAGU